rnacentral:ncRNA from 1 species
AAAUAAAUUUUUUAUGGUUUUUAGAAUUUAUUUUAAGUUUAUUUUACAUAUAAAUUUUAGUGUUAUUUAUUAAUUAUUUAAAUAAUAUUUAAUUUUAGGAGUAGUAAUUAAUUUUAAAAAUUUAAGAAAUUAAGAUUUAGUGAUACAAUAAUUAAUAACUAAUUUUGUGCCAGCAGUUGCGGUUAUACAAAGAUUAAUUUAAAUUUUUUUUUUAGUGUUUAAUUAAUAAUUUAUUAUGAAAUAAUUUAAAAUUUAAAUUAUAAGGUGAAAUUUUAAUUUAAUAUAAAAUUAUUUAAUAUUUAUGAUUUAGUAAAUUUUAUUAAAAACUAGGAUUAGAUACCCUAUUAUUAAAAAUUUAAAUUAAUAAUACUUAAAUAGUAGAUAAUUAUUUAUUAAAACUUAAAUAAUUUGGCGGUAUUUUAGUUUAUUUAGAGGAAUCUGUUUAAUAAUUGAUAUUCCACGAAUAAAUUUACUUAAUUUAUUAUUUUGUAUAUCGUUGUUAUAAAAAUAUUUUUUAAUAAUAUUAAUAUUUAAAAAUUUUAAUUUUAAAUUAAAUCAGAUCAAGAUGCAGAUUAUAAUUAAGAAUAUAAUGGAUUACAAUAAAUUUAUUUAAAAAGUUGGAUUUUAAUUUGGAAUGGUUAAAUGAAAUUGGAUUUAAAUGUAAUUUUAUAUAAAUUUUUAAAAUGAUUUAAUAUUAAAGUAUGUACAUAUUGCCCGUCGCUUUCAUUUAUAAGUUGAAAUAAGUCGUAACAAAGUAGAGGUACUGGAAAGUGUUUCUAGAAAGAU